GGCCUAAUGGUCUAGUAGUAUGAUUCGCGCUUCGGGUUGCGCCUGCGCGAGGUCCUGGGUUCAAUUCCCAGUUAGGCCC
rnacentral:tRNA from 1 species